GGGGAUGUAGCUCAGUUGGCUAGAGCGCUACGCUGGCAGCGUAGAGGUCGUGGGUUCGAGUCCCAUCUUCUCCA
rnacentral:tRNA from 1 species